UGGGGAAUAUUGCACAAUGGGGGAAACCCUGAUGCAGCAACGCCGCGUGAGUGAUGACGGCCUUCGGUUGUAAAGCUCUGUCUUCAGGGACGAUAAUGACGGUACCUGAGGAGGAAGCCACGGCUAACUACGUGCCAGCAGCCGCGGUAAUACGUAUGGAGCAAGCGUUAUCCGGAUUUACUGGGUGUAAAGGGAGUGUAGGCGGCUUUGCAAGUCAGAUGUGAAAGCCCGGGGCUCAACCCCGGGACUGCAUUUGAAACUGUGAAGCUGGAGUGUCGGAGAGGUAAGUGGAAUUCCUAGUGUAGCGGUGAAAUGCGUAGAUAUUAGGAAGAACACCAGUGGCGAAGGCGGCUUACUGGACGAUUACUGACGCUGAGGCUCGAAAGCGUGGGGAGCAAACAGGAUUAGAUACCCUGGUAGU
rnacentral:rRNA from 1 species